UAAGGGAAAAGCUGCUAGUUCACAUAUGAUCUUUUCAUUACUUAGGGUUAGGAUCAUGUCAGGGAUAUGGUGAAAAUCAAACUCGCAUUUGAACACUGUUCGGCGUUAUUCUAAUUAAGAUAAGGUAUGCAGCUAAGCAUAGUGUGUUUCUUAGGAGUGACUGAAUGCAGUGCUUACUUAGUGCUUCCAAGUCCAUGCUAGGCAAACUCAGAUUAGCAGCAAAUCCUUUAUUAGCAUUAAAUACUUCUCACGAAGAAGCUGUCUCACCUCAUAGUUGUUGUAUAGGUCUCGUCCUUAGAACUGUCUCGAUGCCAUGAACGUUGGUCUAAGACAAAGUAAGGAGGUUGUUGGAUUUUCGUUACGACUAUCCCUUUAGCUAUUGACUAUGAUACCACCCCUUUAGCUAUUGACUAUGAUAAUAGAAUCUAGUAUGAUGAUUGUGACUAUGAUAAUAGAAUCUAGUAUGAUGAUUGAUGGAGUAGGUGCUAUCUCCUUAGGCGAGGGUAAGCAAAGCCAGAAGACUCACUCCAAGAGGAAUCGACUGAAAGAAGGAACACUCAGAAAUCCCACACCCCACAUAAGUAACGAGCGGAAGAGGGAAUGCAUGCCACUAUUCCAAUUCAAAUUCCAUGAACUAUUGAACUUACUAAGGCGAAAAAAUGCAACGAGGAUCAUUCUAUUCUCUAGACAUUAGGGAUACAUACAUACAUACAUCUUUCAAUUCUAUACAUUCAUUAGGCAUACAUAUAACAUUCAUUAGGCAUACAUUUCAAUAUAUAAUAGCGAUAAGGAUGAUUACGAUUGAGACGGUAUUAUCAAGCGUGGGCAUAAGAUGAAUAGGUGGAGCCACCCAACCCAAGCGUGGGCAUAAGAUGAAUAGGUAGGAGCCACCCAAGUUUAGAAUAACUCUAUCUUCUUUUCCUAGUGAGAUUUUGAUAAGAUAGAUGGAAUGAGAUCCGUGUCUUAUUUAUGAAAGUAUCAUACCCGCCUUUACCGCUCCGUGGUACCUAUAUGACUCUAUUUCUUUAGAUUCUACUCAUUACUCUAUUUUUCUUUAGAUUCUACUCAUUACUCUUAGAGAAAGAAGAGAGCUUUACCAGUAAGUCGAGCCCUUGAAAACCAUAUUGGAAGUCCGGAUUGAUUGGAUUUAUCGAAAGCCUAGGAGCUCCAUACAGACUUGAUUGGACCUUAUUUAUGAGCCUAUUGCUAGUUAUUUGAUCUUACUCGCGUACGAACCCUAUAUAUACUCAAGUGCUUCAUUAUUGCCCGAGUUCUCUAAAGCAUCCAAAAUGAAUGGAAUAGAGUGCUGCAAAAGAAAAAGAUGUAUGAUAUGUGCACCCACCCCGGCAAGUAAAAGAAUAUAUGAUAUGUGCGUGCGCCUACCUCGGCAAGUCACAGAUUGAUAGCUAUCCCUACCUACAUAUAGAAUCCGAGUUACUCCACUUAUUGUGCCUAUCUGCUUAAUUGCCCAGCCGCUAUUCUAUUCCUUGAACUUGGCUUGAACUUAACGCCUAAAGUGGAACAUGGUGCACCAACUAUAGGAAGAGCGCAAAGAAGAGAAGAGGAUCUGUGUCUUAUACUGUGUACUUUCCGGCCACCUAGAAGCAAGCAGCUCUCAAAACAUCACUUUUGGAAUGUAGGUGCAGCUGUUCUGUUAUAUAGUAAUAGUCACUCAAGGGUCUUGGCAUUUACGAUAGCCUAAACCCAUAAAUCUAGUGGGCCCACAGGGGUUAUCAAGCGCAAUGCUCCUAUUCUUUUUGGUUAACUUGGCCUGGCCUUAGAGGUAGUCUUUUGUGAACUUGACCUUUGUUGGCGUAUAGAGAAACUGUUCGAGUGGAAGUUUCAUCAUAUAAAGAGAAAGAAUUGAAGACGGAAUUCUCAACUGCUGAGGUUACUAAGAAAGGAAAGGGUCAUGUUACUGAAUUAGGCUAUAAUUCAUAUGUUCCCACUCUUCGAAUAGCUAAUAAAGAAAGAGAAGAAACUCUUCGAAUAGCUAAUAAAGAAAGAGAAGAGGAGAUACCAGAGAUUCCGUAUAAUCAAUGAUAGCUUAACUAAGUGAAGUGAAGUAUAGUAAAGGUCAAGAAAGGACUCAGUAUAGUAAAGGUGCUUGACAAAGUUCAGCAGUAGGGUAUAGUCAAGGGCAACCUUCUCUAACGCGCUUAGCUUAAUAUACGUUGCUUGUAGAAUCGAUAGAAUAAAAGAUAGUGUGUGACUAAUAUAGAAUCUAGUAACAACUGACUGUAAAGAAGAUUAAUGAGGCACAAAAUAUCAUAUCUUAAACAAUUCGUUUGUUUGUGUGUGUAUAGUUAUGUUAUAUUAUAUCUAUUCUAUGGCGCACAACAACUCUGGUCGAUUAUAGGAAAUGAUAGGAUAUUUUCGCUAUUGUAACAAGCAUACGAUUCAUGGAGAAAUAAAGAAAUAGAUCGAACGAAGGCGUGUGCGUUCUCGCCAAGGAA